CAGCAGCCGCGGUAACACAGAGGGUGCAAGCGUUAAUCGGAAUUACUGGGCGUAAAGCGCGCGUAGGUGGUUUGUUAAGUUGGAUGUGAAAUCCCCGGGCUCAACCUGGGAACUGCAUCCAAAACUGGCAAGCUAGAGUAUGGUAGAGGGUGGUGGAAUUUCCUGUGUAGCGGUGAAAUGCGUAGAUAUAGGAAGGAACACCAGUGGCGAAGGCGACCACCUGGACUGAUACUGACACUGAGGUGCGAAAGCGUGGGGAGCAAACAGGAUUAGAUACCCGAGUAGUCCCUGUCUCUUAUAA
rnacentral:rRNA from 1 species